GAUGAACGCUGACAGAAUGCUUAACACAUGCAAGUCAACUGUGGCGGACGGGUGAGUAACGCGUAAAGAACUUGCCUCACGGAUAGGGACAACAUUUGGAAACGAAUGCUAAUACCUGAUACUGUGAGAGAGCUUUCCGUCCCAUUAGCUAGUUGGAGAGGUAACGGCUCACCAAGGCGAGGAUGGGUAGCCGGCCUGAAAGGGUGAUCGGCCACAAGGGGAAUGAGACACGGCCCUGAGACCUACGGGGGGAAGGAGUGAGUAAUAUAGGAAAAUGGACCAGAGUCUGAUACAGCAAUCCGGUGGGAAAGAUGAAGUUUUGUGAGGAAAAAAUGUAUUCAGUUGAGUAGCGGAACCAACAGAAGAAGUGACGGCUAAAUACGUGCAAGCAGCGGCGUAAUAC
rnacentral:rRNA from 1 species